rnacentral:rRNA from 1 species
CAGCCGCCGCGGGAAUACGUAGGGUGCAAGCGUUAAUCGGAAUUACUGGGCGUAAAGCGUGCGCAGGCGGUUAUAUAAGUCAGAUGUGAAAUCCCCGGGCUCAACCUGGGAACUGCAUUUGAGACUGUAUGGCUAGAGUGUGUCAGAGGGGGGUAGAAUUCCACGUGUAGCAGUGAAAUGCGUAGAUAUGUGGAGGAAUACCGAUGGCGAAGGCAGCCCCCUGGGAUAACACUGACGCUCAUGCACGAAAGCGUGGGGAGCAAACAGGAUUAGAUACCCCGGUAGUCCCUGUCUCUUAUAA